rnacentral:ncRNA from 1 species
GGUUGGACAGAUAUCUGCCUUAACGCAGAUGUAUGUUUUCAAGUUAUGUAGCUAAGGGUGGAGGCU